rnacentral:snRNA from 1 species
AGAUGCGAGGGCGAUCUGGCUGUGACAUCUGUCACCCCAUUGACUGCCAGGGUUGAUUCGGCUGAUCUGGCAGUCUGGGUGGGUGUCCCCUUCCUCCCUCGUGGCUCCAUGUGUGUCCCUCCUGAAGCUGUGCGCUGCCUGGAAGAGGACGACCAUCCCCGAUAGACCAGUCUUCGGUCAAGGACAAGAGUAGCUGCGCUCCCCUGCUAGGAUCUCCAAACAAGCUCCCCAAAAGCGGGAUAGAGACACAGCCACAGAGGGAGCCAGUUGAGACGCCUUGACAGGCCUGGUUGUUUUU